rnacentral:rRNA from 1 species
UACGAAGGGGGCUAGCGUUGCUCGGAAUCACUGGGCGUAAAGCGCACGUAGGCGGAUUGUUAAGUCAGGGGUGAAAUCCUGGAGCUCAACUCCAGAACUGCCUUUGAUACUGGCGAUCUUCGAGUCCGGGAGAGGUGAGUGGAACUCCGAGUGUAGAGGUGAAAUUCGUAGAUAUUCGGAAGAACACCAGUGGCGAAGGCGGCUCACUGGCCCGGUACUGACGCUGAGGUGCGAAAGCGUGGGGAGCAAACAGG